rfam:Tatumella morbirosei strain LMG 23360 Contig3, whole genome shotgun sequence.
GUAUUAUGUUUAACGCUCGUGCCGGCACGAGCCUUACGGAAG